GAUCCAUCUCUAGUUUAGGUUUUAUAGCAGUAGUACAGAUGGAGAUGACAUUUUUUCCCAUCAUCAUAAAUAGUAAUAGUAUACGCUAACUUGAUUUCUUUGGUUUCGUUAGAGCACCAUUAUCAUGGGCUUUUAAGAGCAUCUCUUAGAUUUAUUAGGAUUAAAAAAAUGGAAAAUAGCAAUAAACCUAAGCGAUGUCUGUUAAUCAGGGACAAGAAGAGACGUCUCUUGUGAUUCCUCUUCCUCCCUCUUCAUCUUCUCCAGAACUUCAUCCCACUCUCAUCUCUAUCUCUCUUCCGACUUGUGAAAUCCGUAGGUUUCAAAUCCAAGUCUCCUCCAUUGCCCAGACUUUGGAUUGGGCUCAGUAAGACGGGACGAAAGCGGAGACGUGAGCGCAUCGGUCGGCGUUGAGGAGAGCGAGCCUGAAGCGUCCUUCUCGGAAGAUGAAGGAGAUGCGAGCGAAGGAGGAUGCGAUUUCCCGGAGCCACCGGAAGAAGCUAAGCUCUUCGUUGAGAAUUUGGCUUACGAUGUUGAUAGCCAAGCCCUUGGCUAUGCUCUUUGAGCAAGCUGUGGUGCUUCUAAAACUGCUGCUAACCUCCACGCUGUGUCGAUCUUGCUGAAGCUUGGUCGCUCUUGGAACUGGUUCAUUUAGCUUAGUGCCUUGGAUUAUCCCCUCAUUAGAUUCUGCUCUUGUUUAGCUAUUAGAUUCUGCUCUUGUUUAGUUGUUACUUGAAUGAUGUGUGUUUAGCUUUGUUGCUUGAACGAUGUGUGUUGUGUUUCAUCUCUGCCAAUGGUUGGUAUAUGAGCUUGGUAUAUGAGAUUUGGUCGUUCUAGAUGGUAAAGACAUGUUUUUUGUACGUAUAUAACUUGCUAAUGCUCUGAGAAUAAAAGUCUCUUUUACCAUUUUAAGUUUUUAA